AUUGAACGCUGGCGGCAGGCUUAACACAUGCAAGUCGAGCGGGGUGAUGGUGCUUGCACUAUCACUUAGCGGCGGACGGGUGAGUAAUGCUUAGGAAUCUGCCUAUUAGUGGGGGACAACAUCUCGAAAGGGAUGCUAAUACCGCAUACGUCCUACGGGAGAAAGCAGGGGAUCACUUGUGACCUUGCGCUAAUGGAUGAGCCUAAGUCGGAUUAGCUAGUUGGUGGGGUAAAGGCCUACCAAGGCGACGAUUUGUAGCGGGUCUGAGAGGAUGAUCCGCCACACUGGGACUGAGACACGGCCCAGACUCCUACGGGAGGCAGCAGUGGGGAAUAUUGGACAAUGGGGGGAACCCUGAUCCAGCCAUGCCGCGUGUGUGAAGAAGGCCUUAUGGUUGUAAAGCACUUUAAGCGAGGAGGAGGCUCUUUUGGUUAAUACCCAAGAUGAGUGGACGUUACUCGCAGAAUAAGCACCGGCUAACUCUGUGCCAGCCGCCGCAGUAACAC
rnacentral:rRNA from 1 species